GCCCCCAGCUGUGAGGCCGCCGCCCGACGGAAGCUCGGGAGCUCUUGAGCUCGGGCGUUCGGCCCGGAGCGCGGGCUGUGGCUGUGGCGGCUCGCGGGGGUCAGUACCUAGUCCCUGAAAAUGGCUUCCCUGGAUGUUUGAGGGACCAGGAGCCCCUAAUGCCGCGAUGCUCAGCGCGCCUUCAGUCAGAGGGAGCCUCGAGGGCGGCGGCAGCGCUGGCGGAGCCGGCUGGACGCCGCCGGUUAAAGCCGCUCAGCGUCGCCCAGGCCAAGCCCGGGCUUCGUAGACGGCUCACAGAAACAGGGACAACUGACGGGAGCUCUCACCCCUCGAACAAGUGACAAAAGCGAUCACUCCGCAUAGAAGACGCACUUAAUUAAAGGUUCCUUUCGCCUCGGUGCAUCAAUGAGUUCCUUCAUUUAAACAUAAAAGGGUAUGUCCUUUAAAAGAGCAAAUCCGUGAGCCGAGAUUGCGCGACUGCACUCCAGCCUGGGCGACAGAGCGAGACUCCGUCUCAAAAAAUAAAAUAAAAUAAAAUAAAAUCCGUUACUCCCAGCCCCUGCUAAGUAACGAUUGAACAAAUAUUUUAGAAGACCCUUCAGAGCAAAGGACCCUCUCACACGCUGAGAGCAAUGCGAGUUGUUAGAGCCCUUUGAGGAGGUAAUCCAGGAAUAGCUAUUAAAAUUGAAAACGCGUGUGACCUUUGACCCAGCAAUCUUUCCUCUCGGAAUCUUCCAGAAGUAAAAGGAACAGUAAAUAAGUUAUGUGUGAAAGUGUUACUGGGGGAACCCUACCUGGGAGGUAGGGUUACGUGGGAACAGUGUGGUUGAUCUUUAAAGACUAUUACGAAGGCUGUUUAACAAGCAUGCGUUAGAGCUCCGUGUGCGGAUGUAGAGGGGCAGACAGCCAUGAUGUGGUGGUAAACGAGAAAAGAUGGCUGUACAGAAAUGUCUAAAUAAUCAAGUUGAAUGAUCAAGAAUUAAUUUUUUUAAAUGUCUGAAUAACAAAAAGAGAAGCCUGUGUGUGUGUGUGUGGCAGGAUAUUUUUGAAUAAGCACGGAGAAAGAUGAAGAAACACACAAGGGUAGUUGAGAGGAGGCAGUAGGAGGUAUUAGGAAAAUGGAAAAGGGAAGAUGAGAGGCAGAAGGAUUGUGGGGGGAGAGUACUUACGGUAUACGGUAUAACAUUCACUAAAAAUGAAUAUAAAAAUCUUAACUAUAGGCCAGGCACAGUGGCUCACGCCUGUAAUCCCAGCACUUUGGGAGGUCAAGGCGGGCGGAUCACUUGAGGUCAGUAGUUUGAGACCAGCCUGGCCAACGUGGUGAAACCCCGUCUCUGCUAAAAACGUAAAAAUUAGCCGGGCGUGG
rnacentral:lncRNA from 10 species